GAUUUUCUGCAGCACAAGGCAAAAUUUCGAUGUGUUGAUUAAAUGCCUCGGGAAGUUCAGGGUAGUGACGUUCAGGAAAUUAUUCCGUGGCUUUAGAUUUGGUUGAAGAGAAGAAAAGUUCUGUUUCAAGCCCAAAAGAAGGUGGAUAGUGUGACAGAUCGCUCGGAAGAUCUUGGCGCUGGACCCUCGAUGACUUAAACAACAAAGUCGUCGUGAAAACGUUGCAAAUGGAGGAAACAGAUUAUCCAUCGAAACAAAACAUCCCUCUUUGUCCUUGACAUCAUUUAUUCCACUGACCACCUAUUUGUCUCUUCUGCUAUCAUUUUUGUACAUGUAGCCGAGCAUGUUAAAACCAUGGCAUUCUUUUUUCUUUUUCCUAUUUCUAACUGGCUUUAGAACUGGAUUUAGAAAUAUUUAGGAAAUUUGAGAUUGAGAAGAUGUGUCGUAAUUGUUUAUUUGCAUGUAAACUGCAUGCACUAGUACUUCCAUAACAUUGAGUAAUGUUAUAGAACUUGCCUCACAUCA